rnacentral:snRNA from 1 species
AGCUUUGCCAGUGGCAGUAUCGUAGCCAAUGAGGUUUAUCUGAGGCACGAUUAUUACUAAUUGAAAAUUUUUCCCAAUACUCCGCCGUGACGACUUCAGUAUAGUUGGCAUUGACAAUUUUUGACAGUCUCUAUGGAGA